rnacentral:rRNA from 1 species
CCUACGGGAGGCAGCAGUGGGGAAUAUUGGACAAUGGGGGAAACCCUGAUCCAGCCAUGCCGCGUGUGUGAAGAAGGUCUUCGGAUUGUAAAGCACUUUAAGUUGGGAGGAAGGGCUUCAGGUUAAUACCUUGAAGUCUUGACGUUACCAACAGAAUAAGCACCGGCUAACUCUGUGCCAGCAGCCGCGGUAAUACAGAG